rnacentral:rRNA from 1 species
GCUCAGGAUGAACGCUGGCGGCGUGCCUAAUACAUGCAAGUCGAGCGAACGGACAGGAGUGCUUGCACUCCUUGAAGUUAGCGGCGGACGGGUGAGUAACACGUGGGUAACCUACCUAUAAGACUGGGAUAACUUCGGGAAACCGGAGCUAAUACCGGAUAAUAUAUACCUCCGCAUGGAGGAAUAGUCAAAGACGGUUCUGCUGUCACUUAUAGAUGGACCCGCGGUGUAUUAGCUAGUUGGUGAGGUAACGGCUCACCAAGGCAACGAUACAUAGCCGACCUGAGAGGGUGAUCGGCCACACUGGGACUGAGACACGGCCCAGACUCCUACGGGAGGCAGCAGUAGGGAAUCUUCCGCAAUGGACGAAAGUCUGACGGAGCAACGCCGCGUGAGUGAAGAAGGUUUUCGGAUCGUAAAACUCUGUUGUAAGGGAAGAACAAGUACGUUAGUAACUGAACGUACCUGAC